UACGGAGGGGGCUAGCGUUGUUCGGAAUUACUGGGCGUAAAGCGCACGUAGGCGGCUUUGUAAGUUAGAGGUGAAAGCCUGAUGCUUAACAUCAGAACUGCCUUUAAGACUGCAUCGCUUGAACGUCGGAGAGGUGAGUGGAAUUCCGAGUGUAGAGGUGAAAUUCGUAGAUAUUCGGAAGAACACCAGUGGCGAAGGCGGCUCACUGGACGACUGUUGACGCUGAGGUGCGAAAGCGUGGGGAGCAAACAGG
rnacentral:rRNA from 1 species